CAAAGCUGUGCCCUUUAAAUGUCAAAAUCGUAUUGACGGACUAACAUACUUUAUAGCUUUUUUUUCUUUACUUUAAUCAGGUGAUGCCUGGACUUACUGCAUCAGUAAAAAUGAAUGGAUACAGUUUAAUCAUCCAUAUACUGAAAAGCCAAGGUUAUGGCAUACAGCCUGUGCCAGUGAUGAAGGAGAAGUAAUAGUUUUUGGGGGUUGUGCCAACAACCUGCUUGUCCAUCACAGAGCUGCACACAGUAAUGAAAUACUUGUAUUUUCAGUUCAACCAAAAUCUCUUGUCCGGCUAAGCUUAGAAGCAGUCAUUUGCUUUAAAGAAAUGUUAGCAAACUCAUGGAACUGCCUUCCAAAACACUUACUUCACAGUGUUAAUCAGAGGUUUGGUAGUAACAACACUUCCGGAUCUUAAGGCUUCGUAGAUAAUGCCUCUGAUCGCCUUGCAUGGACAGUAAUCCUGUAAACGUCACAGAGUGGCAUCAUUUGUAUAAUUAUAUGCAUUGUUGUAGUUUGCAGCUUUUUGGUUUUAAUGUGCAUGUGAAUGGCCUAGAGAACCUAUUUUUGUGUCGAAAGUUUACAAUAAAUGUAUUUAACACCAGUAA